rnacentral:sRNA from 1 species
UUUUUUUUUGUUUGUUUUGAGACAGGGUCUUGCCCUGUCACCCAGGCUGGAGUGCAGUGGUAUGAUCUCGGCUCACUGCAACCUCCGCCUCCCGGGGCGUUUUAGAGUCCCCGUUUCUACGUUCUGUGUGGCACCCUCUUGCCAAGGGAACAUCCAGAAUCCCUCCACUUCCUGUCUAGUUUGAGGCCUCAAUACGUUCAUGAUCCAGAGUCCUGUGGCUGUGAGGGGGUGGGCCCACCGCUGCCCAGCCCUCCUUGGUGGACAUGGGGACAGGUUUUGCUGAGAAACGGGAGUGCGUUCUGUGUGGGUGUUUGUGACACCCUGAGACCCUGCUUGGCCUAGCUAAAGUCUGGAAAGCCUGGGUCCCACAGGGCUUGCAUGAGGGCCAUGGGCCUGUACUUCAGGAGGCCUGAGAGGCCCGGUCAGUCCCAUGAGGCUACUCAGCUUGGCCCGCAGGUCCUCCGAGGCACAGGGCAGAGGGACACCCCAGGGACCCAUCAGACUCACGACACGGAGAAACUCAAGUGGGGUGCCAGGGCCGGCUGCAGAGACCACAGGCUUCCUGCCUGUGAGGAGCCGCCCUGUUUGUCUGAGCCCCUCGGAGAUUUAGGUUUAGCCAUAAGAACCGGUCAUUGGAAUGUACACUUUAUUAUGUU